CUACUCUAGCUGCUGUGGUCUUAGAGAGGUUUCGUUUUCUGGUCAACGCCCAUCUUCACAUCACAGAUACCACGGAAGCAGGAAAUAACAGGUUCUGGUGCACCUGACGCGGAGUCAAACCGUCUUGUUCAAACAUAGCACGUUGAUUUAAUUCUUGCAGCCAGCGGUCACUAUGUCAGAGAAAGACGAAGAGACAUUCAAAUCUGUGGAUUUGGAGCAGAAAACCGAGAAGUCUCCGGAACCAGACAUCAAUCCUCAAGAAUCUCCAAGUGAAAAAGAAACCGAUAAACCCAGCACACCUUCUACAGAAGCCAAGGGAGAAAGCACCCCCUCUACACAUGCUUCAGCAGCCAAAGUUAAAUGGACAUCAUCUGUGGAACAGUUUAAACUGAAGAGAUUUUUUGUCCUCAGGCCUGGAACACUGGACCAUGGCAUUGAGGAUGUUAAAGCUCUUGUGAAUCCCAAAGAAGAUGGUCCGGUCCAAGGUAUCUGGCUCAUGGCUGAAGUUGAUCAUUGGAACAAUGAGAAAGAGCGAUUGGUGAUCAUCACAGAGAACACCCUCCUCCUCUUCAAAUAUGACUUUGUCAUGCUUAACUGUGAGCAGAUUCAGAAGAUUCCACUCAACUUUAUCGACCGCAUCUGCCAUGGUACCUUCUGCUUUCCACCACGCUCCCUCCUGACGAGAGAAGGUGAGGGUGUGCGGGUGUAUUGGGACAAACUCAGGGAACCAUCUUUCACUUCCCGUUGGAAUCCUUUUUCUGUUGAGUAUCCUUUCACUACAUUCACCUAUCACCCUGUCAGCAGUGCCAAUGAGGAGCUGGGCCGCCUGUGUGAUGUGAGUAUUACAAUGCAACACAGAGAACGCUUUUAUAACAGUCAGGUAUUUCUAAAAGAUGUAUUAUUUUUUGUCAAAUUAUCAGACUUCAUAAGGACAAAACCCACCCAUCAUAUGAGCUCACUUACAUAUGUUACUCACAAGUAUUACAGAGGUGCUGCCAGAGGACUUAUAGAGGUGGAGUAAGAAUCCACAGUUUACCUUUAGUCUUUGGACGAAAUGACAUGUUCAGUUAACAUGCAUAUUUAUUUCACUACAUGAUAAAGAUUUCAAAUGACUACAUGAGGCUGAGGCAAGGUUACUUGAGGCAGCCUUUCUUCAACUGGGUUCCUUUUAAAGCCACAAUUUCCUGAAUAAGUCUUACCAAAAAUCAUGACACAAAAACUACUGAAUUAAAUUACUGAUUGAAAGGCUUACUAGUUUUAAAAGUGGCUUAGUGAUGCACUGCUAGUGGAAGGUUAAACAAGUUCAAAUUCAAGUUUAUAGUUUACAUACAUCAGGUUUAUGUAAGAAGCCAAGCACUGAAAGUUGUUAAUUUAGAUGUCAAUAUGGCAAUAUUUAUAGUUUAAUUUAUCGAAAACAACCAUCGCAAAAAAAUAAGCCUAUUACCAAAAACAUGUUUUUUCACCAUCUGCUUACCAAGUACAUUUUUAUUUUAUGCGUGCAGGUAUUUUUGUGUGAUUUUGUUGUCUCAUCUUUGUAUGCCUAUAAAAGCAACUGAAUCAUGAUUAAUCCCACCUAACAUUUAACGGGAUUUAAAUAUACUUUUAUAUUGAAAUAAUUUCAUAUUCAAUCUUUAAAUUAAUGUAGUAACAACAUAAAGACAGUAUAUUUUUUAUAUUUAUUUAAUAGCAUCUUUUUUAUGACUGAAGGUGAGUAUCACUGAUGCCAAUACUACUGGGCCCAUAUUCACAAAACAUUUUAUCUUACCACUAAGAGUUCUCCUAAAUAGCAUUAAAUAAAUUUAACUAAGAUUUUUCUCUUAAAACUAGUGCAAACUAGGAAUAGACAAAGGAAUAGAGAGAAGUCUUAAGCUAAGAGUAAGGGCAGGGUUGACCUCGUUGCUAUGGAUGAUGUCAUCAUGCUUAGUAACUAUGCACACAGUGAUUUGCUGAUAGGCUCUGUCAGAGAUUUAUUCAUGGAAAUAUUGUAGAAUACUAUACGUCGGCGUAUUCAAAUAAAGGUUUCAAAAUAAAGAUUUGAAGUGUCACUAAUUAAACAAGUAUAUGUUCAGCUAAUUGUCAGUCUCUAACGUGUGCUUCUCAAAAACAAUUAGUGUAUGUGCAUAUUAACAGCCUUUUAAUUAACAGAGUAGAACAAUCAUGGCUGAUAAUACAUGCAAAAAAAAAAAAAAAAAAAUGGAUGCAGAAAAAGCUGUUACUUCUUUCCCAAAUAGUUAUUUAAAACAAGUACAUAAUCAAAGGACAAUUUGGAGUUGGGAUAACAACCAAAACCAAAGGUGAUACCAUUUUAAAAGGUUAUUAUCAUCAAAUGUUUCUAAAAUGUUUACAUUCAGAGCCAGAUUUCUGGCCACAGCCAUUUUAGGAAUAGUUUGUGGCUUAGUCUUAGUGACUUAGGAGUCUUCUUCACUACUUAUGAACUACUUUUAGCCUUAAGAUGUUUUGUGAAUUCAGCCACUCUUUAACCAUUGACUACAUGUAAUGUUAACUAUACUAACAUUACAGUAUAAUUGAGAGUAUCAAUUUUAUAAAAUACUUUAAAAAUUUUAAAAUUCUAAUUUAAGUGAACUUAAAAUAAUGUUCACAUAAACCAAUUAUAAUAAAUUUCAUAUUUACCUGUGCCCUUCAGCAAGUAGGAAAUAUAGAGAAAAUGAAUUAAGUUAUCAAACUCUACAUUCUAAAUGAAAUAUAGAAAAAUCCUUAGCAUUUUUAUUUGUUCUUUUAUUAACGCACAUCAGAGCACCUGGGAUUUUACAUUAUUUGGCUGCUAUUACAUUAAGAGCUGCCGCUGCUGAACGUGAUGUGGAUCUGACAUGCAUGCUCAUAGUUUCAUUGGUGUUUUAAUAUAAAAUGAUACAGGCUACAGAGCAUGCCGCUGCAUGUUUCACAUGACAGGACAUUUAUUUUUACUGACAUAAGGCCUGACAAUGUCUCAUCUGACCGCAGUUUACUGAUGUUCAAUAGUACCCUCAACAUGUGUACCUUUUCCACACUCAUCUGACUAGCACAUGGCACUGAGGUGAAGUUGGAGUGCUCGUCUAAAAUGUCUCCUGUUUGAUGCUGUCGUAAAGAUUUUCUGCAUCUAAAUAAACGCAGUUCUUAUCAAGAAAAAAGAGACCAAUGCAGCUUGUGAGUGGGGUGGCUAACUCUAGUCCUGUGCCUGCUCUAACUGCAUUAAAUAGAUUUAACUAUUAAACUGGAAAAAUUUAUUGCUAGCAUCAACUCUAGUUUUAACAGCACUAGGAUUAUCAGGAUUCUGGACUGUUCUUUGCUGUGUUCUUUCCAUUUCUGUUCCUGUGUUCCCUUAUUUGGUCAUGUUCCUGUCCUUUAGUUAAUUGGUAAUUAGUCACCAAUGUUUGGUAUCAUCCUUUGUUUAUAAGUCCUUGUCUGUGCAGUCCGUCUCUGUCGGGGUCUACCACUGAUGUAUGUCAACCUUCUGUUCCCUGUGUUGGAUUUACCCUCUGUGUUGGAUUUUAUUAAAGUCUCUUUCAAUUAUCCAUGGCUCCAUGUUUCUUCGGGCAGCAUAACGUGAUAGAAGAACCAACCAAAAAGAGUAACCUCAGUGUUUUUCCCCUCUGUUUGUUUUCUAGUUUUUUUUCUCAGUCUUUUUGUUUCCUGUUGUGUUUAUGGAUUCCUUCCUUCACCCCAAAUUCCUCCUCCUCCUACUGGAACAGAGGCAGCGCUCUCUCAAGGACCAUACAAGACUGUUCACCCUUUUAGCUACCACCACCCGUACAACACACUUUGCUCAUUCUAUGAUGCAAGCUUGAACACCACAAGCGUCAUCCGAGUUGCCUUCGUGGACUGGACUCUGGCAUGAAAUGGAUUGCCAUCCUGUCCUGUGGAUGAUCUCGUCCUAUCCAUUCCAGACCCAGUGCUCAGCCCACCAUCUCCCCACUGUGCGGAGCAUCAGCCCAAGCCCACAGUGACCGAAGAGGCCCAGAGGCUCACAAAUGCCUGCCCUCCCACCUGCUUCUGCCUCCUCCACCUCUGUCGUCUUGCCGCCCCUCUGCUCACCCUCUGCCCACCGUCAUUACGGUGUGAGCUCCGCGGGUCUGCAAUCCUCUAGCAUUGCCAUUGCUGGAGAAUCCCUCACCUCUGCUUCCAGCCUCCGAAGCCCAGGCUCACUCGUACCUCCUGCUCCACCUUGGUCUGGCAUCAACCAUCCAGCGCCACAGCACUCCACUCUUCCAGAUGUGCUUCGUCCCUCCGGCUCCAUCAGACUCCUACAUCCCUUCGGCUCUUCAACAGUCCUCAGUUGCUCUGGCUCUGCCCUUGAUUUCUGGAUCUCUGCCACUGCCUUGGUCGCCAGAGCCCUCAGCUCCACCCUGGAUCCUCGGCAUCUGCCUGGCUUGUUGGCUCUCCAUCUCCACCUCGGGCUCCUCCGCCCCCUGCUCUGCCGUUGUUGGCCAGCCCCCUGGAGUCAGUGAAUAUUCCUCCUUCAUGGCUCCUCUCCCCGUCAGCUCCACCUCGGGUCGACAUUAUGGCUGUGGCCUGGGUCCUGCUGGGCUCCUCCUGCUGCUAGCCCCUUCUGUAUCCUCCCUGGCUCCUCCUCCUAUCGUCUCCUCCCUGGACUCUGUCUGCCGCCCCCUCCUGGAUAUCCAUCCUCCUCCUGACCCUCCUCUCAAGUUCCCUUUAUCCCUCCUUCUGUUGUUUCUAUGGUGUGAGGACACACCUUCCGGGAGGGGGGAGAUGUUCUGUGCCAUGUUUUGCCCGUUUCUGUUCCUUUUUCCCCCUAUUUGGUCAUGUUCCUGUCCUCAUUUAUUUAAUUAGUCAUUCUGUGCACCUGUGUUUGGUAAUCAUCCUGUGUUUAUAAGUCCUAUUCUGUGCAGUCUGUCUCUGUCGGGUCUGCCAGUCAUGUACGUGUGCCAAUCUCCUGUUCCCUCUUAUGGAUGUACUUAAUAUCCCAAUGAUUUUUGGAAUAACAGAAAAAUCAAUCAUUUUGACCCAUAAAAUGUGCUGUUGGCUAUUGCUACAAAUAUACCUUGCUCCUUAUGACUGUAUCUGUGGUCCUGGGUCAAAUAUUCAAUAUGAUUAAGCAUUUAUUUUUCGCAAGGAGCUGAAGUGGUCACUGCUUUAGAAAAAAAGCAUAAACCCUGAUUUAAGGUUGUAUUAUUUAAUUGCAAUACAAUUUAGAAAACAGACAAUGGUCUUAUGCAGGUGACCACACAGAUCACAUAACCAGUCAUUUGGACUUCAGAGGUGUCAAAUCCCACAGCCACAUUCCCAUUCCUUACAUUCCACCCCGCCUACUGAGGUGCACAGCAGGUAAAAAAAAAAAGACGAAUGGUAGAUAAAAAGAGAAAACAUAAACAUGAAUGUUUUGACAAGCAGAAACCGCCAACCUGAUAAACUUGAGUUGAGUCAAAUAUGUUGUCACAAUAUGUUUUUGCUGUGUUUUAGUACUGAAAAAAAAAGACAUUUCCAUAUUUCCCUUCCUCUUUUAGAUUCAAAACUUCAUGGAGCAGCUGACUUCAGCAGCACAGAAAGCCCACAGCAAGAAUCCUGUACCUGGGAAAGCCAACGGAGUUCUUGUGCUGAAUCAACCCAUUCUAAUUGAAGCAUAUGUGGGUCUGAUGUCUGUCAUAGGCAAUCAAAACAAGUUGGGCUAUUGCUUAGCACGAGGCAAUAUUGGUUUCUGAGGGCACUUUGAGUCUUCCAGUGAUGGUUUACACAAAGUUAUUCUCUUAUACCAGCUGAGCAUGUGUAAUUUAUACUUGUAUAAGAUAAUGAAUAUUAAUAUGGCUACUUUAAAUCAAGGUGAAUGAAACCUUUUAGUUUCAUCUAGUUAUAUUGCCCCAAGAUCUUAACAAUGUCUAUCAGUCAUUUCCUUUGGGUUGUGUCAUAACAUAAAAAAUAAUUUUGUCCCUCCUCCUACGACUUCCUGUGUAGAAAUAUCUUGUUUUUAGUUUUCUGUUUUAGUUAUUUCUCUGCAGAAACUGAUUCUGCACAAUGUCACUGGCAAAGUGCCUUUCCUUUCUUUCUGUAUUUUUGCUGAUAUUCUACCUUAUCACAAGCCUUCUUACAAGGCAAUUGAUGCAUGAAGGUACACAAAUCAUAUUUGUUUGAUGGUUUAGGGUUUAUUAUUACAGUAGAACACAGUUCUGGAUUUUCCCUCAUCUUGUAAUUACUACAUUCACUCAGUCUUGAUUUGUUUCUAUAGCAGAAUGUCAAACAUAUUGUCAAGUCUUUUUGAAAAUAAAAAGUAGUACAGAAACUUGGUUCAUUAGUGCUGAAUACAAUAUAUUUUCAUGAACUAUAUUUAGGAACAAUAAUAAUACAAAAGUGCUUCAUUUAUCUGAAUAGUCUGCACGAUAUUGAUUUAUAGGGCGUUUCUAAGGUAGGGCAAGUGGCCAGUGUAACCAUGUCUUGUUGAAAAUAUUGUUAUAUAUGUUUUAUACAUUUACAUAUUCAAAAAUAAAACAAAUGUACUGUA